AUGGCAUGAUGGGGGCAUUUUCUGAUGAGGUCCAUUAAUCUUUCCCAUGCCUCAUGGAACUGCUCACCAUUUUGCGGCGAGAAGCUAGUGAGAGCUCGCCUU
rnacentral:snoRNA from 1 species